GCAGUGGUGGACGGGCCCCCGCUGGAUGCCUCUGAUUUUAAGGUUUUAUGUUCUGGGAAGGACUCUGAAACGAUAUGCCUCCGCAUCACCACCUUCUUGGCAGUAUUUGAGUUGGAUUAAUUCUCAGUGGAACAUGAUCGUCUGGAAGGCUCUCUGAUGGCUGUGCUGUGCCUUUUGACCUACAUUGCCAUGCAGGUGGGCCACCUCUCCUUAGAAGACAUGGAUGCAUAUCUCAGCCAAGCUAUCUGCGUCAGUACAUAUCCUACACAAUGACCUGUCUGCUGCCUUUGAUACUGUGAACCAUCAGAUCCU